AUGCACGCUGGCGGCGUGCCUAAUACAUGCAGGUCGAGCGAACGGACGAGAAGCUUGCUUCUCUGAUGUUAGCGGCGGACGGGUGAGUAACACGUGGAUAACCUACCUAUAAGACUGGGAUAACUUCGGGAAACCGGAGCUAAUACCGGAUAAUAUUUUGAACCGCAUGGUUCAAAAGUGAAAGACGGUCUUGCUGUCACUUAUAGAUGGAUCCGCACUGCAUUAGCUAGUUGGUAAGGUAACGGCUUACCAAGGCAACGAUGCAUAGCCGACCUGAGAGGGGGAGCGGCACACGAGGAAAGAAGAACGGCUGCCAGCCUCGACGGGGGGCAGGAGGGGGAAAUUUUCCGGAAGGGGCGAAAGCCUGAGGGAGCAACGCGGGGGGGGUGAAGAAAGGCUUCGAAUCGUAAAACUUGUUUAUUAGGGAAGAACAAAGUUGUAAGUACCGGGGAAAAUCUGACAGUAACCUAAUAAAAAAGCCCGGGUUAACUCCGG
rnacentral:rRNA from 1 species